rnacentral:lncRNA from 7 species
CCCAGGUUCACUAAGCUUGUUUUAGUAGGCCUGCUAAACAAAAAAUGAAGGUUUGCUUUCAUCCAACAUCUGUAAGGAGGAUACAAACUAAAGUAAAAAAAUAAUUGAAUAGCAGCGUUAGCCAUUAGACCUCCCUCUACCAGGCAACCAAAUUUGCUCAGUUCAGGUGCCGGACAGCUUUUCAGUUGAUGAUUGUGUUUCACUGUUGUUGCCUGCUAUUGCCUAACAUGUUUGAAGAGUUCAGCUACCAUGUUCCACGCCUCCCAGAUCUUGUGUUUCAGCUGGUGAUCAUAAACUGUUCAGUCGGUGAUCUUAAUUUUCACACCUACCAUGUUCAGCCGGUGAUCAU